GCCUGGCUGGCUCAAUCAGUGGAGCAUACGACUCUUGAUCUUGCAGUUGUGAGUUCGAACCCCAUGCUGGGUG
rnacentral:tRNA from 1 species